UGAAAAAUUCCAUGGUAAGCCGUGAGAAAUAGCGAAAGUCGUAUAUCCCAAACACCAUUCUGCAGCGAAACGGAGGGGUUUGGAACGACUGGAAAUACUUCCACCCCAGGAAUUUCCAGGACAUCUGGUGAGAUUCUAGACGGAGCCAAGCAGACUGCACCUAUGGAUGGCAUGAGUGAGUGUCAGCAAAUGCCCAGGACACUGCUGUGGGCAGCUAAAGAGCUUCACAGGAGAACCUGCACCUUUCACUGGCCAGGCAGCUCACUCGCCAAGUCCCUAAUCUGUCACUCACAGCAUUCCAAACAGAACGAAAAGCACCAACAGGAAGCUCAAUUCUCUUUUGACUUGACACAACCUUUUGGCUGUCAAGCUCCAUCCAGAUCCCAGCAACCACCUGCUUGGAUCAGUCCUGGACAUGGACUGCUGCUGGCCUUAGGCUACUUUCUGGAAUCUUCCAAAAGUC